rnacentral:rRNA from 1 species
UACGUAGGGUGCGAGCGUUAAUCGGAAUUACUGGGCGUAAAGCGUGCGCAGGCGGUUUUGUAAGCCAGAUGUGAAAGCCCCGGGCUUAACCUGGGAAUGGCAUUUGGGACUGCAAGGCUUGAGUGCGGCAGAGGAGACUGGAAUUCCUGGUGUAGCAGUGAAAUGCGUAGAUAUCAGGAGGAAUACCGAUGGCGAAGGCAGGUCCCUGGGCCAAUACUGACGCUCAUGCACGAAAGCGUGGGGAGCAAACAGG